rnacentral:rRNA from 1 species
AUGCAGAGAAAUUCUUGGGGAAAACCUGCAGAAUUCAGAUGCUUACUGUAUUCACUGGCUGAAGAGUCAUCUGUGCAUACACCUCAUCAGUAUCCGGGUCUGCCUGAAAAAAAAAUCAAGAGACAACAUCUUUCAGAGCUUGCAAUAGCGGGCAUGCCGUGUUUGUCGAACAGUAGGGGCAGUGGUCUGUUAGAUUACUUGCAAAGUGACGCUGUGCAGAAGACAUAUCAACUUCGAUGGAAGGUUGGGGUAGCUCGGCACGUGUGCUUCGACAUCCUUUUGCAUAGAAGCUGCAACCUGAACCAGACACAUACCAAGUCCAAUGCAGAAUCAGUGGAAGGUGCAACAGAAAUCAGGACCAUAAAUGCAAGCAAUGCAAAGCUAUACAUGGAUGCAUGUUGCAUGUACCAAACUUGA